rnacentral:lncRNA from 1 species
CUUGGAAGAGCUGGGGCAGAGAGAGAAACAACAGCUUCUUUGUCUGGUUCUCUCAGAAGCCAACUCUGAGGCAAGGAUUCCUAGGAAAGACUAUCUUAAGAGUGAGAGGUGGAAUUUUAUUAUCUAUGGAGGAAGGAAUCUUCCUAGUGACUGAGUCCUGUCUUCUUCCUUCAAUGAGAAAGACAGCUGUGAUUGAUUAGUGAUGUCUGCCUUGGCCCAGGAUGGGAGACAACAGUACCUAUACUGCACAUUGUACAUCCCUGACCUCAGGAAACCUCAGCAGUCAGAAGGAGUUCAAGCAAUGUGGGACUGCUCUAUUUGCUCCCUUGACUGUGAGUGAUUUAAAGAUACUGGGUCUUGCUCCUUCACCCAAACUGGAGUGCAGUGGCACGAUCGAUCACAGCUCACCGCAGCCUUGAACUCCUAGGGCUGACACCAUCCUCCCGCCUGAGCCUCCUGAGUGGCUGGAACUACAGGAGUGCACCACCAUGCACCUAAUUGGUAUUUUAAAUGAUAACAACCACACGAAUAAUAUUAACAAUAAUGAUGAUGGUGAUAAUGACAGCUGCCACUUAUAUCCAUGGGCCAAGCAUUGUGCCACGCAUUUUGCUUACAUCUUCACACAAAAUCUACCAGGGAGGGAGUGUCUUUAACUGUCAUUUUACAGAUGGGGAAACUGAGGCUCUUAUGGGGAAGCCACUGGCCUGAGGUCAAGCACUGGAAUGUGACUGAGCCAAAAUGUGGCAGCAGAUCUGACUAUCGGCCUUUGUGGUUCACGAUUAUUGCCUCCAUUACAGUGCUGCCUGUGUGCUGGUUCUCGCAUGACAGGGAGGGUUGUGAGUAGACAGAGGGGUUGCAGCAGGACUGGCCCCUACCGUGUCAAAAGGGACAGGUCACAGGCUGAGCAGGAUGGGGCGGCAGGGGCAGGCUGCCUCCCCACACGCAGAGGUCCCACCCCAGCUCCCUACCAGCAGCAGACUGGGAGCCCUAGUGUGCCCAGCGCCCCCAUGAUUGGCAGCCUGCAGAUGGCAGGGGUGCCUUGGAAUUUAUUAUCCAAGCAUGCCUUUCCGAGGGGGCCUCACUGCCUGACACUGCUUUAUCGGAAAGCUGGGAAUGGUUAGCUGAGCCCAUCUGUUAGCCAAAGAGGGGAACUCAGUGGGUGGGGAAGUCUGUGGAGUCAUUUAAAAGGAAUUUCUCUGAUGCUGAGGCCAGGGCAGAAGGUUAUCUGCCCGUGGGCCGUUGGGCUGCCUGGUUUGGGGUAUUGGGGGCUUGGGGGUGGUGUGUGUGUGUUUGGUGGGGGACUCUCGUUGCUUGUUCUAAACCAAAAAUUGCUAGAGCCCUUCCCCCUUCUGAACAACAAUUUGAACUCUGCAGUGCUCUUUCAUUGCUGAAACCACCACAUUAGCAUCGUCAGUGUCUUGGUGACGAAUCUAGGACAGAUGGGGAUAAAUGCAGUGAUCUGAAUUAAUACUGGGGUGGCUAAUGAAUCCAGGAGCCAGGAAAUAAUUAGGAGAAGUUACUGCUCCUGACAUGGCAAAUAGAAGCUGUGUGUUAGAUGCCUUCUUCUCUCUCCCCUCCCACCAACCAAGAUGCCCCGGAAGACAGCUGUGCAGCCACCUGGGGUGGGGGACACUUGGAUGUCAGGACUUGAUCUUGGGUGAGGAUUCUGGGACAUUUAUGACAGAGGCUGGUGAACAGCAGGUGGAGACAGGAGAAUGGCGGUUCUUCCAUUGUAUAUCAAAGGUUCUUCUGUGCUUGGAAAAAGCACUGGACUGGGAGCCCAGAGGCCUGGGUUCAAGUGCAGGCUCCUACUGGAUCAUCCUAAGGCAUGUGGUUCCCUCCUCCAAUGCUCAAUGAAAGUAGAGCAUGAUCGAGGGUAGCAUGCACUGUUUGCUGCCCAGGGGCAGGCCCAUGCUAAAUGAUUUGCAUAGGGCUCUCAUUUAAUCUUCCCCCACAGCUCUAGUACUCUGUUUGUUCUCACUCUACCAAGUCCAAUUGUUUCAAUAGCUCAUUCAAGGGCAUGCAGUUGAUAGCAGAGCUGGAUUCAAACCCAGAAAUCAACUCAAAGGUCUGAGCCCUUGACCAUACCAUGUCACUGCCUUUUGCCACCAAGAGCCAGAUAAUCAUUGAUGUUUCUUCCAACACUGACAUAUUUUUAGGCCUUCAUGAUUCUUGUAGAUAUCUUGUAGAUAUCUGCUUUGCAAUAUGGGGAGUGAAAGGGAGUUGAGCUAUGCUUUUGUAAUUGGGUGUCUGAAAAGGCUGGGCCCCUAUUAUAUAUGAUCAUACGCUUUAUUCUUCCUUUCUAAAACUUAGCAUGUUUGCAAUUGAAUAAUUAAGUGUUUAUUGUUUAAUGGUUAUCUACCCUGCUAGACUGAGGCUCCAAAAAGAUCUCAUCUAUUUUGCUCACUGUUAUGUCCCCAGUGCAGAGAAGAGUGGAUGAUAUGUUGUGUUCGAAUUGAUAUCAUUUGACUGUGUCCCCACACAAAUCUCAUCUUGAAUUGUAGCUCCCACAAUUCCCAUGUGACAUAGGAGGGACCCGGUGGGAGAUAAUAGAAUCAUGGGGGUGGUUUCCCCCAUACUGUUCUCAUGGUAGUGAAUAAGUCUCAUGAGAGCUGAUGGUUUUAUAAGGGGUUUUCCCUUUCACUUGGCUCUCACUCUUUCUUGCCUGCCACCAUGUAAAACGUGCCUUUUGCCUUUUUCCAUGAUUAUGAGGCCUCCCCAGCCACAUGGAACUGAGAGUCCAUUAAACUCCUUUUUCU